rnacentral:lncRNA from 1 species
CCUCUGCAUCCAUUAAUUUUCUCAUCAAGCUAUUUCUCCUAUCUGUGAAGUCUUUCUUUCGAGUUUUUUUUCUUCUAAAUCUUACGCACCAUCUCUUCUUUUCAUGAGGUCUUUCUCGAGUCUCUUGCUUCUCUUCUAAAUUCUUUUUAUUUUCUAAGAUUUUUGCAUUUGAAAGUUCAUAAAAACUAUGUAUCAUUUUAUUUAGAGAUGUAUAUUAGGACAUUGGAUGAAUAUGUUGUUAGGUGUGUAUCAACUGAUUAUAUAUUGUAUACUGAUG